GAUGAACGCUGGCGGCGUGCCUAAUACAUGCAAGUCGAGCGAAUGGAUUAAGAGCUUGCUCUUAUGAAGUUAGCGGCGGACGGGUGAGUAACACGUGGGUAACCUGCCCAUAAGACUGGGAUAACUCCGGGAAACCGGGGCUAAUACCGGAUAACAUUUUGAACCGCAUGGUUCGAAAUUGAAAGGCGGCUUCGGCUGUCACUUAUGGAUGGACCCGCGUCGCAUUAGCUAGUUGGUGAGGUAACGGCUCACCAAGGCAACGAUGCGUAGCCGAGCGGAGAGGGUGAGCGGCCACACUGGGACUGGAACACGGCCCAGACUCCUACGGGAGGCAGCAGUAGGGAAUCUUCCGCAAUGGACGAAAGUCUGACGGAGCAACGCCGCGUGAGUGAUGAAGGCUUUCGGGUCGUAAAACUCUGUUGUUAGGGAAGAACAAGUGCUAGUUGAAUAAGCUGGCACCUUGACGGUACCUAACCAGAAAGCCACGGCUAACUACGUGCCAGCCGCCGCCGUAA
rnacentral:rRNA from 1 species